AGGGUGAAAUCAUGCUAGCAUCUACAACUUGGUGGCUGAAAGGAGGUGAGGACCAAACCAGCGGCUUGAACCUGGGUACUGGCACACUGUAAUGUGUGCGCUUAACCAGAUGUGUCAUCGCCUGUCCCCGCCCCCGCCCCCCACCAGCUUCUUUCUUUAUACUGAGUUGGAUCUGGUUGGGGGAAAAAUGAGAUGGAAGCUGGAAGAACAGUUCAUCACGUGCCAUGUGCAGGACCCAAGCUCCAAAUCAAGCCCCCUCACCACUCUGAAGGAAGCUUAGGUGCUGUGGUCUCUUUCAUUCUCCCUCUGCCUCUCUGUUUCUGUCAAGGAGGAGGAAGAAGAGGAAAGAAAGAAAGAAAGAAAGAAAGAAAGAAAGAAAGAAAGAAAGAAAGGAAGGAAGGAAGGAAGGAAGGAAGGAAGGAAGGAAGGAAGGAAGGGAAGGCAUGCUACAGCAUGGAUAGAAUUGGAGGCAGUCGUGUUAAAUAACAUAGUCCAGAAGGAUAAGAAUCAGGGGACAGUGCUUACAGGUGGGGGGGGGGGCAUAGGCAACAGAGCAAGUGACAAUGUGGUUGGGUGGGAUGGGGGCUUUGCUAACAGUGGCCUUGGGGGGAAUGUGAAACUAUGCUCCUCUGAAAACAAUAU